CAAAUACGUUUACAAGUAUCAGAUUGACUUGACCUGUCUUAUCAUGUUACAUGCCUUAAUUAAAUUGAUACGCGAUACAAUUGUAACUAAUUUAGCUUGAGUAAAAUCAACCAGAAUACAGGAAUGAAGUACACGCUAGUUUUUCUUUUCCUUUUUGUUGCGCUUGCAGCAGCCGAAUAUUGUCGGAACGACGGAACAAGCUGUGCUGAGGAAGUUUGCAGUGGCAAUGAUGUUCCAUCAUGCGUUAACCAUGUGUGUACAUGUGCCCCUAGACCGGCAAAUUCAGGAUGUGUUACUAAAGAUGACUGCCCUGACAGCUACUGGACUCACAGUCAUCAUUGCAAUAAGGAUCAACGUCACUGUGUAGACACAAAAUGUGUGUGCGGCCACUUUUAACAAAAGGAGCAGAGCAGUGCCAAACUCUCUGAUCUGUGUUAAUUUUGUAAUAAAUGAAUCUUGAAUCAGAAA